rnacentral:rRNA from 1 species
UAUUGCACAAUGGGGGAAACCCUGAUGCAGCGACGCCGCGUGAGUGAAGAAGCGUUUCGGCGCGUAAAGCUCUGUCAGCGGGGAAGAAACACGGUUCGCGAGAGCCGCGGACGGUACCCGACCAAGAAGCCCCGGCUAACUACGUGCCAGCAGCCGCGGUAAUACGUAUGGGGCAAGCGUUAUCCGGAUUUACUGGGUGUAAAGGGAGCGUAGGCGGCCUGGCAAGCCUGAUGUGAAAUACCGGGGCCCAACCCCGGGGCUGCAUUGGGAACUGCUAGGCUGGAGUGCCGGAGAGGCAGGCGGAAUUCCUAGUGUAGCGGUGAAAUGCGUAGAUAUUAGGAGGAACACCAGUGGCGAAGGCGGCCUGCUGGACGGUGACUGACGCUGAGGCUCGAAAGCGUGGGGAGCAAACAGG